GAUGAACGCUGGCGGCGUGCCUAAUACAUGCAAGUCGAGCGAACCACUUCGGUGGUGAGCGGCGAACGGGUGAGUAACACGUAGGUGAUCUGCCCACCAGACGGGGACAACGAUUGGAAACGAUCGCUAAUACCGGAUAGGACGAAAGUUUAAAGGUGCUUCUGGCACCGCUGAUGGAUGAGCCUGCGGCGCAUUAGCUAGUUGGUAGGGUAAAGGCCUACCAAGGCGACGAUGCGUAGCCGACCUGAGAGGGUGAACGGCCACACUGGGACUGAGACACGGCCCAGACUCCUACGGGAGGCAGCAGUAGGGAAUCUUCGGCAAUGGGCGAAAGCCUGACCGAGCAACGCCGCGUGAAUGAUGAAGGCCUC
rnacentral:rRNA from 1 species